rnacentral:sRNA from 1 species
GUUCGAUUCGAGCGCAGCGAGAAAGCGUUGACGCAGGCAACGACCCGAAGGGCGAAGCGCGCAGCGCUGAGUAAUCCUUCCCCCGUCAUCC